AUUGAACGCUGGCGGCAGGCCUAACACAUGCAAGUCGAGCGGAUGACGGGAGCUUGCUCCUUGAUUCAGCGGCGGACGGGUGAGUAAUGCCUAGGAAUCUGCCUGGUAGUGGGGGACAACGUUUCGAAAGGAACGCUAAUACCGCAUACUUCCUACUGGAGAAAGCAGGGGACCUUCGGGCCUUUCGCUAUCAGAUGAGCCUAGGUCGGAUUAGCUUGUUGGUGAGGUAAUGGCUCACCAAGGCGACGAUCCGUAACUGGUCUGAGAGGAUGAUCAGUCACACUGGAACUGAGACACGGUCAAGACUCCUAAGGGAGGCAGCAGUGGGGAAUAUUGGACAACGGGCGAAAGCCUGAUACAGCCAUGCCGCGUGUGUGAAGAAGGUCUUCGGAUUGUAAAGAACUUUAAGUUGGGAGGAAGGGUUGUAGAUUAAUACUCUGCAAUUUUGACGUUACCGACAGAAUAAGCACCGGCUAACUAUGUG
rnacentral:rRNA from 1 species